UCCUGGGCUUAUAUCUGACAACUUUCAAAAAGACACGUGGACCUCAAUGUUUAUAGCAGCACUAUUUACAAUAGCCAAGACAUGGAAACAACCUAAAUGUCCAUUGACAGAUGACUGUAUAAAGAAGUUGUGGUAUAUUUAUACAAUGGAAUACUAC